ensembl:lncRNA
AGCACGUGCCGUCCCCCUCUCGGAAGGGAAUAUUUAUGGAUGCAUGAAUUAUCUAAGGUAAUUUAGGACACAGCCCAUGUGAAACUGGGACAAAGCGAUGUGUCAAUGGAGUAGCAAAUGCAGAAUUUUCUUAUGUUCCCUUAUUCAGAUAAAACACCUCUGAAAAGGAAUUUGUGAGAAUUACCUGGCCGAACUCCAGGCUUGGCUUGACGCAUGGACCGCUUGGUUAAGGUGGGAGUGAGAGAGAAAGAGCUACCUAUGAUACCUAAGGCCAUUCAAAGAUUCACUUGCCUCGGGGGAUUCUUGGACAGACUGAAAAACUUGAAAAAAGAGGUGACAUGACUCCCUAGAGUGUUGAAUUGCUACCUACUGCUACAUGAUACCUCUUUCUCCUAAAAAGAGAGAUUGCGAAGCAAAAGAAAAGAAGUCAGACUGGCUACAGCAGCAUUAGGUCUUUGGGGAUUCCUCCCUGUAGUAAUGUGUUCCCUUAAGAUUCAUGCAGCAGUGUCUGGUUCCUACCUCCAACUUCUCCCUCCAUCUCUCUCUGAAGAAACAGUACUGCAACUGCAAGUUUCAACAUGGAAGAAAAACAUCAAAGUAAUGACAGUAAUAUAUAAUAUUCCAAGCAAAUUAGGACCUGGACUGCUUCCUCAGCCUCUUUUUGAGCUGAGCGAAAAUCCGCAGUGCUGGACGGACUAGUGAAACUGAUGCAACUUCAAUGAGAUUUCUCCUGAUAUAUUUCAAUGCAGCCAAGUGCAGGUCUGCAGUCUUUGAGAGUAAAUUAUGCCCUGUGUCACACACAAGGCUUUUACAGUCAUCGUAACACCCUUACAGGAGAUGAGAAUCAGUCUUCUUUUACAUAAAAAGUUAUAUUACACCAUCAGGAGCCAUAUUCUACUCUUGAUAAUACUAAUGUAAACCUAAAAGAAUUUCAUCUGUUCAUAAUCCUUUCUUAGAGUAAAAUUUGGAGAGGUUUUCAUUAUCUUUGCAAAGUUUCCUGAAUAGGAUGCAUGUUUCUUUCUAACGUAGAUAUUAUGGUUUGUUUUGUUGGUGCAGCACUCUUGAAUUCCACAUGGAUAAGAAAAUUUUAUAUAUUGUCACCCAUCUUUUGAUAAAAUAUAUGAUAUAUUAAAUGCCAUAACCAUUUUAGGUGAGGUUUUUUGAAGGACCUGAAAUUCACCCUGAAGGGUAGAAUAGAGUUGUAAUGUCUUAUAAGAGGAUUAAGGAUGAGGGCUCUGAAGACCAUCAUGGUUUCAUUAUACCUUGCUACGUUUUCCUCCUGGUUCACUAGCAAGUGGAGCAUUCCUGCUUAUCUCUAAAUAAUGACUUCUGGUUUCUUAUAUUCACUGUAUUUUAUGAGAAAGAAUUCUGUGCACUGGAGGAACACAGUAUUUAAUGCUGUGUAAGAAUGGAAGAGGCAUCUUAACCUUUCAUGUUUACGUAGCUUACUGUAUAGCAGAUUUAUAGUUUUAACUGACUGAAGAUUUUUACCUUCUCUAAUCUCCUUGGCAGUCUAGGACUCAGUUUGGUCUGAUUCCAGUUUCAAUAUUUAUUUACACUUAUUUCUUCAAAGCUGGGAAUUGUAGGUGUCAAUCCAGUGCUUUGGGCAAUUUCUCCCAUAAAUUAGCAAACACAAUCCAAGACAAAAAUAAAUGCCUGCCUAUAAAUAUACCA